rnacentral:lncRNA from 1 species
UUACUUUCUCAAGCACAAAGAAUUCUUUGUUUCCAUUCAUUUCAAUGUGUUUCCACAGAUAAUAAAGUAGAAGCUGAUGUUAUGAUGAGCACAAUAACAGAAUGACAGCGUCACUCCAAUUCAUGGAUUAGGACGUAGUAAUGUUGAGCCACACAUUUAAACCUGAACACAUCUGAUUGGAUUAUAAAUGGAUUUGUAUCCACAUCAUGUUUUCUUUAUUCAGAUUGAAGGACUGCAGUCUGUCAGAGAUCAGCUGUGCUUCUCUGGUCUUCAGCUCUGAAGUCCAACCCCUCCCCUCCUGAGAGAGCUGGACCUGAGGGACACCGAGCUGCAGGAUUCAUCAGAGAAGCUGCUGCGUGACCUUCUGAAGAGUCCAGACUGCAGACUGGAGACUCUCAGGAUCGAUGACGAGUUGAUCACAGCUGAGAAACACACAACAUGUGAGUAUUGCAGCAUAUCCUCCAUUCAUCCAGAUAUUACAUGAACAUCUGAUCUUAAAAUGAGAUGCCCUCAUCGUACACAAACUACUUUCAAUUGUGUUUCUGUUUGAUAUAUAAAAUAUAUAUUCUAUUUCUAAAAUA